rnacentral:rRNA from 1 species
GUAAGGAAUAUUGGUCAAUGGACGAAAGUCUGAACCAGCCAUGCCGCGUGAAGGAUGAAGGCCCUCUGGGUUGUAAACUUCUUUUAUCUGGGACGAAAAAAGGGUAUUCUUACUCACUUGACGGUACCAGAGGAAUAAGCACCGGCUAACUCCGUGCCAGCAGCCGCGGUAAUACGGAGGGUGCAAGCGUUAUCCGGAUUCACUGGGUUUAAAGGGUGCGUAGAUGGGUAUUUAAGUCAGUGGUGAAAUCUCCGAGCUUAACUCGGAAACUGCCAUUGAUACUAUUUACCUUGAAUGCCCUGGAGGUAAGCGGAAGAUGUCAUGUAGCGGUGAAAUGCUGAGAUAUGACAUAGAACACCAAUUGCGAAGGCAGCUUACUACGGGGUGAUUGACACUGAGGCACGAAAGCGUGGGGAGCAAACAGGAUUAGAUACCCCGGUAGUCC